UGCAAUGAUGGGCAAGGUGUCGAAGUUGU
rnacentral:piRNA from 1 species